rnacentral:rRNA from 1 species
AACGAACGCUGGCGGCAGGCUUAACACAUGCAAGUCGAGCGCCCCGCAAGGGGAGCGGCAGACGGGUGAGUAACGCGUGGGAAUCUACCCAUCUCUACGGAAUAACGCAUGGAAACGUGUGCUAAUACCGUAUACGUCCUUCGGGAGAAAGAUUUAUCGGAGAUGGAUGAGCCCGUGUGGGAUUAGCUAGUUGGUGGGGUAAAGGCCUACCAAGGCGACGAUCCAUAGCUGGUCUGAGAGGAUGAUCAGCCACACUGGGACUGAGACACGGCCCAGACUCUUCCGGGAGGGAGCAGUGGGGAAUAUUGGACAAUGGGCGCAAGCCUGAUCCAGCCAUGCCGCGUGAGUGAUGAUGGCCCUGGGGUUGUAAAGCUCUUUCACCGGUGAAGAUAAUGACGGUAACCGGAGAAGAAGCCCCGGCUAACUUCGUGCCAGCAGCCGCCGUAACAC